UGCUGGAUCUGCAAAGGAUGCUCGGCAUGACCACGUGACUCUGGAGGACAACCUGCCAAUCUGAAGUCACUAAUGGAUGGACAACAACAGCAUGCUGUCUCAACAGCUCGUGUUCUGACCUAGAGAGGGGGUAAACUGAUUCAACCUUCACCACACUGGGGGAGUCCGGCCUGAGUCCCUGCAUCUCCAGGAAACAAGGAUAAUUAGCUCAGCCUUUCCAGUCUAAUGUGGUGAACAGAUCUGAGCUCUGAGGUCAUCGUCGAGCAUUCAUCUUGGAUAGGAGGGCUUCCUCCUUCACUUUCAGUCCCUCCUUCACUCUUAGUCCCUCCUUCCCUACACCUUUACAAGUCAGGACAAGAGGAGGAAGGUGUACUCUGUGAAUUAUUGGCAAGGAAACUCAACACAUCAUCAAUGCCUCACAGUUGAAAAGAAAAAAGAGAUGACAAGAGAGAGAG